rnacentral:rRNA from 1 species
CCUACGGGGGGCAGCAGUGGGGAAUAUUGGACAAUGGGGGGAACCCUGAUCCAGCCAUGCCGCGUGUGUGAAGAAGGCCCUCGGGUUGUAAAGCACUUUCAGUGAGGAAGAACGCCUGGUGGUUAAUACCCAUCAGGAAAGACAUCACUCACAGAAGAAGCACCGGCUAACUCCGUGCCAGCAGCCGCGGUAAUACGGAGGGUGCGAGCGUUAAUCGGAAUUACUGGGCGUAAAGCGCGCGUAGGUGGCUUGAUAAGCCGGUUGUGAAAGCCCCGGGCUCAACCUGGGAACGGCAUCCGGAACUGGCAAGCUAGAGUGCAGGAGAGGAAGGUAGAAUUCCCGGUGUAGCGGUGAAAUGCGUAGAGAUCGGGAGGAAGACCAGUGGCGAAGGCGGCCUACUGGACUGACACUGACACUGAGGUGCGAAAGCGUGGGUAGCAAACAGGAUUAGAUACCCUGGUAGUC